GCUCACAUUGUUGAUUCAUUUGGCCCUUGGCUUGAUUUCUUGAGAUUCACUUUGAGCCUUACUUUCUCACUUCCUCCUCUCCACGUAUCUAAGUGUUUGGAUUUUGUGAGUGUGAGAGUUGGUGGAUUUGAGUUGGUUUGAGUGCUUGGUGUUGAGUUCAUGAAGAAAUUUUUUGAGCACUAGAUUCAUCCCCAAGAAUUUGUUACAAGCUUGUUACUCUUGGUGGUUGAGGACACCUAGAUGGCUAGGCGUCGUUUCUUAAGCCACCAAAGUUCUUGUGAUGAGCCGAAGAAAGGUUUGUGAAGGUCAGGUCUCACCUCCGCAUGGGAAGAGACACCACGAGUGAGGGGUAGUACAUUAGUGCAACCCCGAGAAAAGAGUCGUGGAAACCUAACUCAAGUUCGAGCUCCUCAAUGCAGAGUACAAUCCCCUCGAGGAUUGGAACUUCGGGAAAAAGUCUCCGUGUAAUCUUGUGGUGAAAUCUCUCUAACUUGUGUUUUUAGCUUUGCUUAUGGUUGCUUCGCACACUCUAUUUGCUGAUUGUGCAUAUCUUGGAGAUUUCCUACUAGGUUGUGAUUUGGUUAGUUAGAUCUUUGCAUUUAUUGUUCUAGAUCUGGUGCUGUCGGAAGUUCUGAAGGACUGACCGGAACUUCCAAAAAUUUUAGUUUCUAUAUUUCAGUUUAAAAGUUUAAUCGUCUAUUCACCCCUUCUAAGCCUUGAUUUACUCUUUCACAAGUUCCACCGUUGCCUACUUUGGCUUGUGGUUAGUGCACAAUAACUUUUAGGGUUUUCCGAGAACCUAUCCUUAAUUUCUAUGGACAUGACUUUUAAAACUAUGCUCCCACAACGCACCAUUAAUCAAUAUUUUAGUUUCCUUAACCCAUGUAGGGUAUUUAAUCAUAAUUAUCAACUAGCAUUAAUUAAGUGGAGACCCAUGAUCUAGUUCAACUAAGUUGAGUUAAAGCAAUUUCAAAGCCUAAUUCUACUCAAAUUACCCAUGGUAUACAAUAAUAAUAAUUGGGAUACACCGGCUAAACCAUAGGUAAUUGCCCAGUAAAUAAAUUAAAGUAAAACAAUGUAUGUUCGAAUAUAAAACAGAGCUUUUAAAACCAUAGGUACAAUAUGAUCAAGGUUAGAGUGCGGAACCUCGGUGACAACUUCAAAGUAACGCGACGCGUCGGUGGAAUCUCGAAUCUACAUGAUAAACAACGCAAAACAAGUACAAACAGGUUAUAAGACUACUGAAACUAAACAAGAAACUAUUUUUAAUGGAUUCUUGACAAAAAUGUAGGGUAAAUAGAAAUGAUCAUAUGGUGGUUUAGAAAUAUUUUCUUCACACCAUGUUUUUAGGUGAAGUAAAUUUGUUCAUAAGCCAAAUGAUGCAUCAUCGUAUAAUAUAAUUUUAAAUCAUUUAAAGAUAUGUGCAUCUUAUGAUAAUAAUGAAUUGGAAAUACAACUAAUUGAAAAUAUCAUUAGUAAUUUACUUUGUUAAAAAUGACAUAUAAAUAUUUGCUAAAUAAUAUAUGAACACCUAAUAUUUUAUUUAAUAUCUUUUUAUGUAAUAUAAGAAGACAUGAUGAAAUUUGUUUUUAAACUCAUAAUAAAAUUAGACUUUAAAUUACAUGUUAUUUGAGAGUUAUACAAUUGCUUUGUUCUUUUGAUAUAUACAAAUGUCAACAUAUUUUUAUUUAUUAUAAGAAGGCAAAAGGUUGUAUGGGAUGUCACUCAUGUUUGUACAAAGUGAUUUCAUAAAAUUUAACUUUAUAAAGUUUAUUUUAAUAUUAGAUAAUGUGAAUAAAUAUUUAAUUAAAAUUAUCCUUGCAAUGUGUGAACUUGAUAUUACAGUGAUUCUCAAAUUAGUGUAUCAAAAUUUAUUAUUGCAAUGUUUCUAAAAUUAGCAUAUAAAGUUGGCCUUGCAAGUAAUACAAUUGUCAUCCAACUUGAAAACGUGUAAUUUAUUACAAUUUGGUCCAAGCUAUAAUUAAUUAUGCAAAUAUACAAUAGUCCCUAUUAAUUGGUGGUUUGCUGUUAUUUUCUCGGAGUUUUUUUUAAAUAAUCAUGUUAAUAAGGGCAACGCUCCGGUGCAUUUUACUGGUAGUAUUAUACUACCGGUAGAACUAAUCUCGUCCAUCAAUUAAAAAGGUAUUUUUGUACUUUAAUUAUCUGUUUUGUAUUUGUUAAUUAUUUGGCCGCUUGUAUUUUUUCUUCAUCCAUUCUGCAUCUUUAAUUGGACAAGAUUAGUUCUACGUCGUCCAAAAUCUGCAUCAUUAAUUGGGGGUAACUCUCCGGUGUAUUUUGCCGGUAGUAUUAAAAAAGGUAUUUUUGUACUUUUUAAUUACUUGGUUAGCAAUAUUUUGUAAUUUUGCUUUUUUGCAAUAAAGACCACAAUAAAAAUGACGAUAUUACCUCUAGCCGUCCGAUAAAAAUAGAUCAACGGUAUGGAUUAAAUUCUAUUAGCAGUAAAAUGUACUGAAGUCAGUCCUUAAUUGGACGGGAUUAGUUCUGCAUUGUCCAAUCUGCCGUGGUAUCCAAUUAGGUAAUUUAUGAUCACUGUAGAAAGAACAAUAUUGUCUCCUCAAAUUUCUGCUACAUUGAUAGUAUAAUUUAAUCACAACCAUUUGCUAAAAAAAGAUCAAACUGUGUGGAUUAAAUUCUACUGUAAGUAAAAAUACACCGUAGUCGACACCUAUUAAUAAAUGCUUGAUAGACAAAUAUAUCCGAAUGUUUAGUUUAUCUUUACAACUUUCUUUUUAAAUUUUUUUGAGAACAAACUUUCUUUAUAAUUUAGACCACUCUAUCUUACACAUAUGGUUCACAGGAUAUCUCAUAUCCGGGUAUCCCACAAUAUUAUUUAGUAUUAUUUGUGUUUCAUAUAUGUUUUGGUUGUUUUGAAAAAAGAAAUCAACCAACAUUCAUCCCUUGAUCUAUCCCAUCCAAUCCUGCACAUUUACAGUGAAAUAUAUAGGAUCACACACACCUAAUGUGAACUCUCUCUUCUAUUUCAUUGCAUAAUCUGUGAAGUUUGAUCCACCGAUAUCAGAAGUUUGCCAGAUAAACAAGGCUACAAGUGGCAAUCAGCAGGAUAGCGUAAAACGUGUUAUGCUUCCAUGCUCUCCAAUUAUCCUGACGCACAGUAGCGCUGUUAUGUAAACCAGGCACUGCGAUGCGUUGAGCGCAUCUUGGGCUUGUAUAUAAACUGCCAGUGCUUUUGUUAUAGGAGAAGUGGAUGGAAUCAUCACCUAGUUUCUUCCCACAGACAUGAUCAGCAACACCUUGGAUGAUGGACCAGCAUG
rnacentral:lncRNA from 1 species